UGAUGGCGUCGGUACCUCCCGCCAAGACACACGGUUGACCUCACUGGAGUGCCGUUAUAUUUUCAGCCUGUAUACAGGUGACAGUGCCGUGACAGAGGUGGUGGAGGUUAUUAAUGCACCAAGGAACAGGUGUGUAAGGUGUGGCAGUGGUGUUGAUAAGGGAUUAGUGUGUAACGAGGGAAAGAAGUGUGGUGGGCCGAGUGCACGCACGUCUGCUCCAUGUCAACAAACAGAGGUGAUGGCCGUGUGGUGUUUGGUAUUGCUUAUACACCCCAUAAACACACUCAAACACUCCGCAACACAUCCAAAACAUGCUCAUAUACACCCACACACACAAAGUGAAGUGAUGACAUUCCCGACAGCACCAGCGGCGAGACAAGAGAACAAUACAACUCUUCACCACGACUCUCCACAACGCCUCACCAUCAUUUAUUUCAGGCUCAGGCGUGUAGAUGGGAGCAGGAGAAGAAAGAA